UUACCGAGUUUACAACUCCCAAACCCCUGUGAACAUACCAAUUGUUGCCUCGGCGGAUCAGCCCGCUCCCGGUAAAACGGGACGGCCCGCCAGAGGACCCCUAAACUCUGUUUCUAUAUGUAACUUCUGAGUAAAACCAUAAAUAAAUCAAAACUUUCAACAACGGAUCUCUUGGUUCUGGCAUCGAUGAAGAACGCAGCAAAAUGCGAUAAGUAAUGUGAAUUGCAGAAUUCAGUGAAUCAUCGAAUCUUUGAACGCACAUUGCGCCCGCCAGUAUUCUGGCGGGCAUGCCUGUUCGAGCGUCAUUUCAACCCUCAAGCCCCCGGGUUUGGUGUUGGGGAUCGGCGAGCCCUUGCGGCAAGCCGGCCCCGAAAUCUAGUGGCGGUCUCGCUGCAGCUUCCAUUGCGUAGUAGUAAAACCCUCGCAACUGGUACGCGGCGCGGCCAAGCCGUUAAACCCCCAACUUCUGAAUGUUGACCUCGGAUCAGGUAGGAAUACCCGCUGAACUUAAGCAUAUCAAUAGGCGGGAGGA
rnacentral:rRNA from 1 species